UACGAAGGGGGCUAGCGUUGCUCGGAAUCACUGGGCGUAAAGGGUGCGUAGGCGGGUCUUUAAGUCAGGGGUGAAAUCCUGGAGCUCAACUCCAGAACUGCCUUUGAUACUGAGGAUCUUGAGUUCGGGAGAGUGAGUGGAACUGCGAGUGUAGAGGUGAAAAUUCGUAGAUAUUCGCAAGAACACCAGUGCGAAGGCGGCUCACUGGCCGAUACUGACGCUGAGGCACGAAAGCGUGGGGAAG
rnacentral:rRNA from 1 species